AUGAGAUAUAUUUACAAAAUAUUAACAUAUUAGGUAUUUAAUAAAUGCUAGCUGUUAUUAUUUUUAUUAUGACUAGAAAGAAGAGAGAACAGAAAGGACUGAGGAGCCGUGAUCCAAUCCACAGCAACACCCACAACUUUAGUGUUACAUGAUGCAAGCAGAAGCUCUGGGAUGAGGUCAAUUCGAGUCUGCUUCAGAGUUCCUGACCUUGAGGAAGCCCAC
rnacentral:lncRNA from 1 species